rnacentral:rRNA from 1 species
UCCGCCAGAGAACUACAAGUGAAAAACUUAAAACUCAAAGGACUUGACGGUGUCCCAUAUCGACCUAGAGGAGCCUGUCCUAUAAUCGAUACCCCCCGUUUCACCUAACCUCAACUAGCAAAAUAUCAGCCUAUAUACCGCCGUCGACAGUUUACCCUAUGAAGGCCCAACAGUAAACACAAUAGCCCUAAAACGCUAACACGUCAGGUCAAGGUGUAGCAAAUGUUGAGGGAGAGAUUGGCUACAUUUUUUAUAAUAAAAAACACGAAUUGCACUAUGAAACACUGCAUGAAGGUGAAUUUAGUAGUAAAACAGAUAAGAGUGUCUGUUUUAACAACGCUCUGGGACGCGUACACACCGCCC